UGGGGAAUUUUGGACAAUGGGGGCAACCCUGAUCCAGCCAUGCCGCGUGAGUGAAGAAGGCCUUCGGGUUGUAAAGCUCUUUCAGACGGAAAGAAAACGCAUCGGUGAAUACCCGGUGUGGAUGACGGUACCGUAAGAAGAAGCACCGGCUAACUACGUGCCAGCAGCCGCGGUAAUACGUAGGGUGCGAGCGUUAAUCGGAAUUACUGGGCGUAAAGCGUGCGCAGGCGGUUAUGUAAGACAGAUGUGAAAUCCCCGGGCUCAACCUGGGAACUGCGUUUGUGACUGCAUAACUAGAGUACGGCAGAGGGAGGUGGAGUUCCGCGUGUAGCAGUGAAAUGCGUAGAUAUGCGGAGGAACACCGAUGGCGAAGGCAGCCUCCUGGGCCAGUACUGACGCUCAUGCACGAAAGCGUGGGGAGCAAACAGG
rnacentral:rRNA from 1 species